GCAGAACAACUAGCUCGACAAAUUAAAACAAACAACCAAACAAAUAUAUAACAAAACUAAAUAAUUUAAUUAAUUAAAACAUUCUUCCCCCCUAGUAUGGGCGACAGAAAAGGAUCAAGGAGCAAUAGAAAAAGUACCACAAGGGAAAGUUGAAAUAGAAAUGAAAUAAAUAUCACAGGCAAUAUAAUGCAAAGACUAAAACUUGUACCUUUUGCAUCAUGAUUUAGCAAGUUGAGUUCAGGCGAAGGGAACUUUAGUCUGAAGCCCCGAAACUAGGCGAGCUACUUCGGGGCAGCCCAAAUGAGCGAACCCAUCUCUGUAGCAAAAGAGUGGGAAGACCCCCAAGUAGAGGUGACAAACCAACCGAGCCCAGUUAUAGCUGGUUGCUUAAGAAAUGAAUGUUAGUUCAGCCUAAUAUAAUUCUUUAACUACACACCCUAAAAAGACAAAAGCAAUAUAUAUGAGUCAGUCAGUGGGGGUACAGCCCCCCCGACUAAGGACACAACCUUACAUUGAUGGCCAAGGACCAUACCAAAAAAUAAACUUUUCUCAGUGGGCCUAAAAGCAGCCACCUAUAAAGAAAGCGUCAAAGCUCAGACACAAGACAAAUAAAUAAUAAUGAUUUUUAACCUCCAAACCCCCAAGUAAUAUUAGGCCUCACUAUACUAUUAUAGAAGAGAUUAUGCUAAAAUUAGUAAUAAGAGAGGCCCGCCUCUCUCCUGACACAUGUGUAAACCAGAACGGACUAACCACUGGCAAUUAACGAACCCAGUAAUACUUGAGGGCCAAGUAGAAGGUAUUAUUGUAUCUAGAAAAUUCUACUAUCACAUUCGUUAACCCAACACAGGAGUGCCUUAAUGGAAAGACUAAAAGGGAGGGAAGGAACUCGGCAAACAUAUCCCCCGCCUGUUUACCAAAAACAUCGCCUCUUGCUAAUAAUAAUGUAUAAGAGGUCUUGCCUGCCCAGUGACCCGAUUUCAACGGCCGCGGUAUUAUGACCGUGCAAAGGUAGCGUAAUCACUUGUCUUUUAAAUAAAGACCUGUAUGAAUGGCUUAACGAGGGGCUUACUGUCUCCCCCCCCCAGUCAAUGAAAUUGAUCUACCCGUGCAGAAGCGGGUACAACCACAUAAGACGAGAAGACCCUAUGGAGCUUCAGACAAAACUAAAGCAUUUUCUAUACUAUGAUAAACCGCUAGGAAUACAAAUGGACUCAAUUGUGUCAAUUAGUGCAUGUCUUCGGUUGGGGCGACCAUGGCGGAUAAAAAAGCCACCAUAAAGAUAAAGAAUAUAAGACUAAUCUUAAACCAAGAAGUACACUUCAAGGCAACAGAAAAUCUGACCACAUGACCCAGGCCCAUAACCUGAUCAACGAACCAAGUUACCCUAGGGAUAACAGCGCUAUCCUCUCCCAGAGUUCAUAUCGACAAGAGGGUUUACGACCUCGAUGUUGGAUCAGGACAUCCUAAUGGUGCAGCCGCUAUUAAGGGUUCGUUUGUUCAACGAUUAAUAGUCCUACGUGAUCUGAGUUCAGACCGGAGUAAUCCAGGUCGGUUUCUAUCUAUGAAAAACCCACCCCCAGUACGAAAGGGCCGGGGUGGGAAGGCCCCUGUUAAAGACAAGCCUUACCCACACCUACUGAAAAAUAAAUAAAAUAGGCAUUGGACACCCACACAACCAAAGAAUUUUGGCGC
rnacentral:rRNA from 1 species